UGACAGUAUAUAAGUGAGUAACGCAUAUUCAGUAAGUAAAAGUAAAUUGAAAUUAGGGUUUCGAAAAUAUUCUUCUAAAAUUAAUUUUGUAAAAUGUUGCAUUUAUUUAAUAUUUUGAAUGGUUGGCAACCGUCCAGAUAUCGUUUUGGGCCUUCUGGAGCAAUACGCUUUUUAUCUAAAAAUGAAAAAAAUAACGAAAAAGAAAAAAACAACAAAUCAAGUUAUAAAGAUGAGACAAGUAUUGCCGGUGGAACCAAAUGCAAGCCAAAAACUGCAAUUUGCUCUGAGCCCAACAAAAAAAAAAAGAAGAGAGAAAGUUGUGAGGAUUUAAUUCUGAAGCGAGAUGGUAAAACUUCAUCCAGAAAAAAAAAGACUGCACUGACUUCAAUUCAAGGAGGUGGAUUAAACUGUCGUACCAAAACCCAUAAUAAACCUACAACAGGAAAACAUGCAGGGCGUUGGAAGAAGUUUUCACUCUUUGGAGCACUUCCUUUGGUCGCAAUACUUACUCUUCUUGUAUUCAGUUCUCAUAUGGAAAUGGAUCGAAGCGAGUUCAAAAAUUAUACUCAUAUGUAUAAGAGAUCUAAGCCUUUUUGGUUUCGAGAUGGAAAUCGCACUGCUUUUCAUAACAGUCAUUUUAAUGCUCUUCCCCCUGCUGGAUAUGAAGAUGAAGUCGAUGAAAGUUCAAUUGGUAAGGAACCUGAAUCAGAAAAGGACAAAAAAAAACGUUUGAAUGAGUUUCAAAAGUUGUCGAAGAAUUGGCACAGGCACGUAGGUAAGAGAGACGCUCAGAUUAAAAAGGAACAGGAAACUUCAGCGAAAGAGGCAAAAAGACAGCAAGCUCAGGAGGAAAAAGAUGAACAGCAAAUCCAAAAGAAUAACGCCAAAAAGGAAAAUAAAUCGAUUGAAGAGCACUAAACAGAAAAAAUGAGAGUGGAAAAACUUCUAAACUCAAACAAAGCCCAAAAUCUUUAGUAGUUCAAAAUUCGUUGCUCAGAAGCAGCGGUUUAGCAUCAUUUAUAAUAUAGUGAUUAAACAAUGUAUUAAAUUAUUAUUAUUUAAUGUG